AAAGUCGUAACGGACGCGGGCCUGACUCGAGUUCUGUCAGUAUAUUGAUGCGAUUCUUGGUGUUUCAAGUUCAUAAUGUAUUGUUUUGGACUUUAUUCCCCGUUUAAAAUCGCCAUCAUAGCGCUUUUGAGUCCACCGAUGAAGCCCGACGGAGGAAAGAGACAAGGAGAGAGGGAGGACUGGUUGGGACUGGUCGCGUCGGCUCUCCCUGGUUUGACUACUUCCGAAUUUCUUACUCUGCACGUUCACCCAUCGUUUUCCUACAGAUGCCCUGUUUGACACUUAAUCAUUUCAAAUGAGGGAAGAUUGUGAGGACUUUGGGCUCGGCCUAUUGAAACUGUUUGAACGGUGCUUUAUCUUGCCCUUGAAAUCUACACUCCAUUGAGUCACGCCCAGAGUGGCUACUUAAAGGAUAUCUUGCAUGUUGGCCGACUGAUACGAUACAAAGAUCUGUCAGGUAUGAUGGUUAAAGCAGCUUUUGUUGAGGUUUGUUGAGACUGGUAACGUCAUCAUUGAAACAUGUUGUUGAAGAGCAAGAGAAACAGAGUCACCGAAUGGCAGCAGCGGGUACAUACAGUUGACAGCACCCUCUGCCUGUGGGUUUAAAAUGCGGACAAAGAAUGCCAACUAUAUUUGGUCCUUCGGUUAGAGUUCAGGAGUGCAGGAUGGUGACGUUGAAAAUGUCAAGAUUAAAAUAUGCAGUUUGAAGAGCCAGAGAAACAGUGUCAGCGAUCAGCAGCGGUACCUGCCAAGAGCAAGAGUUGAAAGCACUCACCGCCUCUGGAACAAGAAUCUCAACUGGUUUUGGUUCGUCUCUCCUGCACACUUCGGAGCAGCUGAUGCCUGCAUUGUUCUUCCUGCACCUUUACUCUCAAUCCACUACUCACUCCCUGCUCCACAUGCUAACAGCCAUGCAGUAAUUGAAACUGGCCAAGUGAUGCACCAAUCACUUGAGACGGAAGAAUGUGACAAUCAACUCAGGUGUCCAGCAGGACUUACGGACUGGAGGCCAAUUUGGUGCGACAACUGAAACUGGGGACUGAAAGAACAUGAAGCUUCAGUCGGGGACGAAGACCAGCAGCCUCUCACUCAUCGACUCACCGUGAAGAUGAAAAGGACAACAGGCAUCAAUGAGACCAGCAGCUCAACAUUCACCUCACACAGACCCAUCGGAACCAUGUUAUGAUGUAUGUAACCUCCUGCGUCUCAGUGCUCUUGUGAUUCUCCCGCCAUUGUUGUAGCAGUGCAUCAACUUUUCUGUUUCUGGGCCUGCUAUCAUUUUGUCUCAUCCAAUUUUGGUUGAGCAUGAGCAUUGCGUAACCAUGUCACCAUUAGAAGUUUGAUACUUUUUUUGUACCUAUAUAUAUAUUGGCGGUAAUCACCUAUUCAUACGCCUGACCCUUAACAGCAGCAUAGUAAGGCAACUACAUUGGUGAAAGGUGCACAGGUCGCUGUACUGAAUGGCUUCUGGACCAUAUUGAAUGUCCCUCCCUCCCUCCCAUCUUCCCUCC